rnacentral:tRNA from 1 species
GCCGACAUAGCUCAGAUGGUAGAGCAGCUGAUUUGUAAUCAGAAGGUCCCGAGUUCGAUUCUUGGUGUCGGCACCA